ACUCCUACGGGAGGCAGCAGUGGGGAAUUUUGCGCAAUGGGGGCAACCCUGACGCAGCGACGCCGCGUGAGCGAAGAAGGCCUUCGGGUUGUAAAGCUCUGUCUGGGGGGAAGAUAGUGACGGUACCCCCGGAGGAAGCCCCGGCUAACUACGUGCCAGCAGCCGCGGUAAGACGUAGGGGGCGAGCGUUGUCCGGAAUUACUGGGCGUAAAGGGCGUGUAGGCGGUCUAUCAAGUCAGCUGUGAAAUUCCUCGGCUUAACCGGGGCCCUGCGGUUGAAACUGGUAGACUUGAGUGCAGAAGAGGAGGGUGGAAUUCCCAGUGUAGCGGUGAAAUGCGUAGAUAUUGGGAGGAACACCGGUGGCGAAGGCGGCCUUCUGGUCUGUAACUGACGCUGAGGCGCGAAAGCCAGGGGAGCAAACAGGAUUAGAAACCCCUGUAGUCC
rnacentral:rRNA from 1 species